rnacentral:ncRNA from 2 species
GACGAACCGUCCGAACGUUAUUCGGAAUUACUGGGCUUAAAGGGUGCGUAGGCGGUGCUGUAAGUCGGGUGUGAAAUCCCACAGCUCAACUGUGGAACUGCGCCCGAUACUGCAGUGCUAGAGGGAGACAGAGGUAAGCGGAACUGAUGGUGGAGCGGUGAAAUGCGUUGAUAUCAUCAGGAACACCGGUGGCGAAAGCGGCUUACUGGGUCUCUUCUGACGCUGAGGCACGAAAGCUAGGGUAGCGAACGGG